rnacentral:rRNA from 1 species
AUUGAACGCUGGCGGCAGGCCUAACACAUGCAAGUCGAGCGGAGCGGCGGACGGGUGAGUAAUGCCUAGGCAUCUGCCCGGUACUGGGGGAUAACGUCCGGCAACGCGCGCUAAUACCGCCUCCUAUCAGCUGCGCCUAGGUCGGCUUACCUAGUUGGUGGGGUGAAGGCCUACCAGGGCGACGAUCCGUGACUGGUCUGAGGGGAUGAUCAGUCACAGUGAAACUGAGACACGGUCCAAGAUCGUACGUGAGGCAGCAGUGGGAAAUAUUGGACAAUGGGCGAGAGCCUGAACCAGCCAUGCCGCGUGAGUGAAGAAGGUCUUCGGAUUGUAAAGCCCUAUAAGUUGGGGGGCGUUACCAACAGAAUGGGGGCCGGCUAACUUCGUGCCAGCAGCCGCGGUAAUAC